rnacentral:tRNA from 1 species
GCGGGAGUGGCUCAGUUGGUAGAGCAUCUCCUUGCCAAGGAGAAGGUCGCGAGUUCGAAUCUCGUCUCCCGCUCCA